UACCAACAACAACCCUUUUUAUUUUUUCAUUUUACUCGUAAGAGUAAAACUCCUUUUUCCCAUCUUCAGUAGAAGGUGGGAUUUUUUU
rnacentral:antisense_RNA from 1 species